GAAAUAAACCUGAUGGGUUGUUGCUGGUUCUCUAGGGAGCAUGUGCACACCUUGUCAUCUUUAUAUCUCCACCUGUGCACUUUUUGUAGACCUUUCAGGUCUAUGUUGCUUCAUUUACCCCAAUGUAUGUCAAUAGAAUGUUGUGCCUAUAUAAUAUAUACAACUUUCAGCAACGGAUCUCUUGGCUCUCGCAUCGAUGAAGAACGCAGCGAAAUGCGAUAAGUAAUGUGAAUUGCAGAAUUCAGUGAAUCAUCGAAUCUUUGAACGCACCUUGCGCUCCUUGGUAUUCCGAGGAGCAUGCCUGUUUGAGUGUCAUUAAUAUAUCAACCUUCUCUUUUUUGAGUUGUUUGGAUGUGGGGGUUUGCUGGCCUCUUAAAUGAUUCAGCUCCCCUGAAAUGCAUUAGCAGAACAACCUGUUCAUUGGCGUGAUAAUUAUCUAUGCUAUUGAAUGUGAGGGCAGUUCAGCUUUCUAACCGUCCUCGGACAAUUCAUCAUUAAUGUGACCUCAAAUCAGGUAGGACUACCCGCU
rnacentral:sRNA from 1 species